rnacentral:rRNA from 1 species
AGACAGCAGUAGCCGCGGGAAUACGUAGGGUGCGAGCGUUAAUCGGAAUUACUGGGCGUAAAGCGUGCGCAGGUGGUUUGUUAAGUUGGAUGUGAAAUCCCCGGGCUCAACCUGGGAACUGCAUUCAAAACUGACUGACUAGAGUAUGGUAGAGGGUGGUGGAAUUUCCUGUGUAGCGGUGAAAUGCGUAGAUAUAGGAAGGAACACCAGUGGCGAAGGCGACCACCUGGACUAAUACUGACACUGAGGUGCGAAAGCGUGGGGAGCAAACAGGAUUAGAUACCCCCGUAGUCCCUGUCUCUUAUAC